AACGAACGCUGGCGGCAUGCCUAACACAUGCAAGUCGAACGAUUGCCUUCGGGUGAUAGUGGCGCACGGGUGCGUAACGCGUGGGAAUCUGCCCUUAGGUUCGGAAUAACAGCUGGAAACGGCUGCUAAUACCGGAUGAUAUCGCGAGAUCAAAGAUUUAUCGCCUGAGGAUGAGCCCGCGUUGGAUUAGGUUGUUGGUGGGGUAAAGGCCUACCAAGCCGACGAUCCAUAGCUGGUCUGAGAGGAUGAUCAGCCACACUGGGACUGAGACACGGCCCAGACUCCUACGGGAGGCAGCAGUGGGGAAUAUUGGCCAAUGGGCGCAAGCCUGAUCCAGCAAUGCCGCGUGAGUGAUGAAGGCCCUAGGGUUGUAAAGCUCUUUUACCCGGGAAGAUAAUGACUGUACCGGGAGAAUAAGCCCCGGCUAACUCCGUG
rnacentral:rRNA from 1 species